AACGAACGCUGGCGGCAGGCUUAACACAUGCAAGUCGAACGCCCCGCAAGGGGAGUGGCAGACGGGUGAGUAACGCGUGGGAAUCUACCGUACCCUACGGAAUAGCUCCGGGAAACUGGAAUUAAUACCGUAUACGCCCUACGGGGGAAAGAUUUAUCGGGGUAUGAUGAGCCCGCGUUGGAUUAGCUAGUUGGUGGGGUAAAGGCCUACCAAGGCGACGAUCCAUAGCUGGUCUGAGAGGAUGAUCAGCCACAUUGGGACUGAGACACGGCCCAAACUCCUACGGGAGGCAGCAGUGGGGAAUAUUGGACAAUGGGCGCAAGCCUGAUCCAGCCAUGCCGCGUGAGUGAUAAAGGUCUUAGGAUUGUAAAGCUCUUUCACCGAUGAAGAUAAUGACGGUAGUCGGAGAAGAAGCCCCGGCUAACUUCGUGCCAGCAGCCGCCGUAAAAC
rnacentral:rRNA from 1 species